UGCCAUGAAAUCCCCUUGCAAAAACCACUCACAAUCGUUCUCACUCUCACUCUCACUCUCACUCUCACUCUCAUGUUGUGAAACCACCUCUUGCUCUUCCUCAGUCAUCUCUUGUUUUACCUCUCCGAUCUCUCACUCCGCCUCAUCGAUCUCAAAAUUCGUAAAUCGAAACCACAAUCGCGUAAUUCCUCGUCUUCGCCACCGUCGCAGGCUCUCACCGGAAUUUGGAACGACCUGGAGGAGAUCAGUAGUAGCUUCAAGAACUUUCUAUCGCUUCUCUCAUCCAACAGAGCCGUCCGGGGAUCUCCAAACUCACCUCUCAGCUGUUCCAGCUGGAGCCCGACCACAAAUGGCAAGGUGACGUCGACGACGAUGGCGACGCGGUGCCUGGUACGAUGGAGGAGGUUGUUCGUUUCGUCAAGGAAAUUUCCACGCGACCUGAUUGUUGGACUGAAUUCCCCUUGCCAUUCCAUCACGGAAGUGGUGGUUCUAAUGCUAACAACUAAUGGCGUGGUUUCUUCAAGCUUCUCAAGAAAGGCUCACAGAUGCCAUUUCAACCAUUUCACCUUCUUAAAAAGAAUGUUCCUAAGUUAACUAGAAGGAAGAGUAAGAGGGUUAGAUAGGAUUCAGUUUGCUAACUUCAAAUCUUUAUGGAAGAAUUUCACUCUCUCUGAACUCCAGGCUGCAACUGAUGACUUCAGCCAUGAUAAUGUAAUUGGGGAGGGAGGGUAUGCAGAGGUAUACUUAGGAAAAUUGGAAGAUGGAACCUUUGUUGCCAUUAAGAAGCUGACAAGAGAGAACCAAGAAGAAAUGACUGCAGAAUUUUUGUCUGAGCUUGGAAUCAUAUGCUGCAAUUUAUCUUUGCUUAGUAAAUUUUGUCUCUCUUCGACAUUGCACAAUGCAUUGAACAAGGUACUUCAUUAGGAUCAAAUGAACAUGUUGCGCAAGCUGGUGCAGAAUAGUUGUAAUUAUCCAAUUUUGACAGGUAUGAUAUUAAAUAUUAACUUCCUUUAAGCAUUAUAUAUAUUUUUUUAUCUAAAAAUUUACAAGUGUACUUUGAAAGUCACUGGCAACAAGUUAAUGAUUCAAGGGUAGAGAUAUAGUCAGUGGCUCAGUUUUUGCAGCAAAAUCAGGGAAGUCAACUGAGGCUUCUCCAAGAAAUCUAGAUUUUGAAAAUCCCUGCAGGGGAGGAUAAAAGUUAGACCCUCUAUUCGACGUCCUAGUCCGGUAGACUAUAUAGUAUGCAAUUACAAGUCUACAGGUUAAAGUUGAAAUGAAAAAAUGAUAGAUUUUUUCCUGUAGUUUUCCUGAUUUUGUGUCUCUAACGAAUUUAAUUGUUUCAAAAAUUGGUUUAUCCCAUAAACAUGAUCCAACCUGGAUAGAAACUUUUUCUAGUUUAACUGUUGGCUUCCCAGCACCAUCUGGAAUCAAAGCUAUCAUCAGUGCUGCCUUUUUCAUCUUUGGUACCUGAUAGAAAGGAGAAGAGAACAAGGUAAGAUAUUGUAUACAGAAUCUGUUCAUAGGCAUGACAUGCCCAGACAGCCCAGUGUAUCUUAGCUUUCAUACUCCUUAACUAUCUAUGAGAUCCACUGUAUCUUUCAAACUUCCUGGUAAAUAUAUUUUGAGUAAAAGCUGGGACAAACCCCAUUUUUCGAUUUAGUAUAAGAUAAGAUGGCAUAAAAACUUUGUUAUGCCUUAGUGAGUGUUACCUGAGUCGCCUGAAAUUGCAGUUUGAAUAUAGCUUUUAUUUUGUUCUUCUUGCUCCAUGACCUGAACAUGAUUUUCUGAAUGAUUGAUAAAAUAUUGCAGUUUGGUUUUAUGGAAGACUGACAGUACAUGAUUUUCUGAAUGAUUGAUAAAAUAUUGCAGUUUGGUUUUAUGGAAGACUGACAGUGUUUAAUUCCUAGGAGUCCCAGUGACACGUCAUUGAUGAGUUAGCCAGUUGUGUUGAUUUGAAACUUGAAAGUACGUUUCUGACAGAUUCAGUUACCAACUGGAAUGAAAUGUCGGUAUGCUCUUGUUAAAUCCCUUCCUUCUGAUUUAUUGGCUUAGUUACUAGUACUAGAUGAUAUACUGAACUUGUAUGGUUACUUCAUCAGCAAACUUAAUAGAAGUUAAUUUGAUACUAAAAGCUUCUUCAGAAGGCUAAAGGGACUGAGGAAAUAAAUAAAGGAACGUUUCUGAAAUGUAUGGUUCACUUUUCUGGUUUUAGCUUUUGUUUUUUACUUUAAAGAAAAUGGAAGGGGUCAUCUGAGGGAGCGAGACAAAAUAAAAUCACAAGAUUGACCCAUACAACUUUAUUUUCUUAGGUGUAUCUUUUCAAAUGCAAAAGCAUAAUGAACUGUAUCUCUGUUGAUGUAAGUUCAAUUAUUUUUCCAUUGAAAUAGAUAGACCCAAAUAUUUAAUAGUAAGUAAAUACUUAAAAUAAGAAACAUAUAUAGAAUAUUUAAUAUUCUUAACAAACUUGCAGAACAAAAUGUCAAAACUAAAAGGGAAAUAGAUCUAUUUUAUAUCUUAGUAGGGGAAAUUAAUAAAUUUGCACUAAUUUAUAUCUUAGAAAUGAAAAAUUAAUAAAUUUUCUUAUCAAUAAUGUUCUUAGAAAGGGAAUAGGAAAACUGGAAUCACAAAAAUAACUUGCAAAUUUGAAGUUUGAAAUUCAGAGACUUUUACAUAAAAAAGCAUGUAGAACAUAGGAGUUUGUUUUUCCAAAAUUUGUUUCCCAAAUUCAUAAGAUUGUUGUUGAUUGCUUUUUGGUAGUCUUGACCGGUCCAAGAAUGUAGAAAUCUUAGUAAAGGAUCUGAAAGUGUCUGCUACUUUUAAUGAAGAAUUGUUUAAGGAAAUCACACAGCUUUUGAUAUUGGAGAAUUUUAGGUAUGAGUAUAUAUGUUGGCAUCUUGUGGGUUUUGGUGUUAUCGUUAUCCAAAAAGUGAGCUUUGAUAGGAUUUCGAACAAUUUCCAGUUUUAAAAUUGUAAAUAGGCUACAUGAAUUUGUAUAUAGGACAAUUGUUUAUGUUGUUGUCUUCCUAGGAUGUGUUUUGUUCCAUAGUGCUCCAUUGGAGCAGGGACAAUUUUCACAGUUCUUGCAACAUUGAAGAUCAUGUCAGAACCAGUUAGCAUGACCCCUGAGGCUCUCUCUAUUCUUAUCCAAGUUGUGGUAUCUUUCGAUCGGCUCAAUACCUUUUUGCUUGCUGAAGAGUUAGGCAAUAAUGAAAUUGUAAGGAGUGUUAAGCAAAGUUCAGUUGGUGACAAUAAUGCUGUAGAAAUUGAAGGUGAAAACUUGGAAUUUCAUACUGCAGAGGUGAUUCCAUGAUUACUUUUCUUUAGGUUUUAUUUCUGCCCACUAUGAGUUCUUGUUGCCUUUUUAUUUGAUGAGCAUUAGAUGAAUUUGGUUGACUGGUUUAAGGGAAUGGUAACAAGUCGUGCAGCGUUGAGCUAGUCAGGGAGAUAAAUACAUUUUUCUAGGAUUAGUAUAAGGACUAAGUUUUUUAUGUACUUUGUAUCACUUUUUCUUUUCUUUUUUAUAUGGAAUGUUCAUAGAAUUUAAGUGCUAUAAGUAUUUUUUUUCUUUUUCA